AAUAAAAAAAAUUAAUUAUAUAUAAGAAUGAAAUAUAUAUUUAAUAAUUUUGAAAUAUAUUUGUAUUGUAUGUAUUAGAAUUUUAAAUUAAUAUUUUUUUAAAUUAAAAAAUUAUUUAAAUAUGUGUGAAUUAGAUUGGAUCGGUUAUUUUUAUAUAUCAAUCAAUAUUUAAUUCGUAUAUUUUAAAUUUUUUAAUUAAUCUAAUUCGUAUAAAUGUGAAUAUUUAUACUUUUGCAAAUUAAGUUGGAUUGAUACAUAAAUUAAAUUGACUAUUUUAUGAAUGCACCUAGUGUCAGCCACCAUAAAAUUAAGUUUGCACCAAUCUAUUAAAGUUGGAAUUGAAAAAAGAAGAAGAUAAAAAUAAUAAAAUUAAAGAACUAAAACAAAAACUAUGAAGAGAAAUAGGUUAGAAUUGUUAAAUAAUUCCAAAUUAGCAUUACUACAAUAAAUGGUAUAGCAUAAUUGAGGUUUGUCAAUUAGAAGUUCAAACCUGUCAAAAGAUUUUUCAAAAUCCUUGGGCUUUUUUGACUCGUUAGUAAAAAUGAUAUAUUUAAAAGCUAAAUUAAGUGAUCAGUUACUUAUGUAUACAAAUAUGAAUUAAUUUUUGAGAAGUUUGCACUCAAACUCUUUUAUGUUUUCAUUUGUAUGCACUUAAUUCCUUUUUUUUUUUUUUUCAAAAUUAUCUUACAUUUACUUCUAUUUGUAAAUGUGAAUCAUUUGUUAAUUUUGACUGUUAAAUGCCAUAUUAGAUUGCCACUGUGUAUACUUGUGUGUUCACGUGACAUGUGUUCAUUGGUCCAAAUAAUUUUAAUUAUUUAAACUUUAUAAAAUUAAUUUAAAAAUUAAAAAUAUUAAACAAAAUGAAAAAUAUACAAAAUAAAUAAUAAUAUAAAAAAUAAAAACCUUAAGUCACGACCUAAGUUAUUUCUCUCUUCCUCUCUCUCUCUCUCUCUCUCUCUCUCUCUCUCUCUCUCUCUCUCUCGUGCUGGUGACUGUAGAUGUUGGGGAAGUCAAAGGCAUUUCCGUGUGGCCAAUGGCGAACGAUGGUGGUCGUGUCUGAUAGAGAAUCACUAGAGAGAUGGGAUUGGGGUUUUAUAGAUCUCGACAGAACACGACUACCUUCAUAGUGAUCGACACCAAGUAUCUUUGGAAGGUCAACACUCUACAACCUCCAGUGUGAAUAUAACUGAGGGAACGCUAAAUAACUCCAAGGGUCCAACCUAGGAGACAUAAUGCGACAAGAGAGCUAAUGCGAAGACAAGAACCAAAGAUUAGAGUAGGUGAUGACAUUAUUUACAAGUCUCCCAAGUCAAAGGAUAUCACUCAAGACAAUCAAAAGUCGAUUGCUAAUAUUGUCAAAAUUGAUGCCCACCUAGUAGUUUUGUAUGAAAUAGGCUUAGUCUGUGUCAUGAAGUCAGCCUCGCACAAGUGCCAAGAUGAUUUGGGGGGCAAAUGUUUACACGAAAACUAGCCUUGGUGAUGUGGAAUUCAAUGUUUGACACAUGACAAGAAAGAAAACAUCCCAAAUUUGAGUAGUCACGAGUCAUAGUAGUCGACCUGGGAGGGGUCCGUAGUCCUGCACCCAGGUUACUCCAAAAUGGGUGUUUGUAUCCUGCCAAGUUGUUUCCAAUUCACCAUCUUUCAGUAUUUUGAACAAUUAAGAGAAGAAGAAUCUAAGUCCAAGGCUUGGAAACUGAAAAGAGACUAAACAACACCUUGAAAGUCAAACCGGACGCCUAGGGUUUUCACUUAGCGCCCAGGUUGAGAUUCCAACGAGGGUUUCAAUUUUCGAGUUUGUCUUAGUGCCAAUGGCUCAAACUUUGUAUGUUGACAUGAAUAAGACCUGUCACGAACAUUUUUGAGGCAUAAAAAUUAAAAUCAGAGCAUUUUUCAGUUUUAAGCACCCGAGGCACCAGGUGCCUAUGGCACCCAACGCUCAGGUUGACAUAAUGUCAACCUCGAGCGCAUCCAAAAAUAGUUAACAAGAUGUCUUCUGUGCAUAUUCUCUGUUUUCGUCAACAGUUAAGAUUUGGGUGCUUUCAGAAACAUACAGAGUCAUCUGGGAGCCAGAACUAGGACCUAGCGCUCAGGUUGACUUAGGUGUUGGGCCCAGUGCCCAUGUUGACAUUUUGUCAGCUUGGGCCAUUUCUAAUCAGUUUUUUGAAAAUUCUUCCUAGCAUACUUUGUUCUCAUAAAUAACUGAGAUAUGAGUGUUUUUGAGAAUUAAAUGAACUAUUUGGUGGAAAAAAAACUGGACCCAACGCCCAAGUUGACAUUUUGUCAACUUGGGCUAUUUCCAGUCAUUUUUCUUGAAAAGUGUUCCGAACAUCUUUUUUAUUUUCAAAAAUAACAAAGAUACAAGUGAUUUUAGGGAGCAAACAAAAUCUUAUAGGGUCAAAACAGGGACCCAAUGCCCAAGUUGUCAAAAAUGGGGUAGAGACCUCGUUCGCAAUCUCAAAUUUCUUAAAAGUAUCAAAAAGCCCUAGGAAGCCACCCGAGAAGCAUCCAACGCCCAUGUUGACGUAUGUCUUGGUGCGUUGGGUUCUACUUAUCGAAUUCUAGUUUUGUCUCGAGGAUCUGAGUAUUUGUACGUAGUAAACGAGAGCUAAGAAUUCUGACAAGGAAAAUUCACUUUGAUGUUUCACCCUUUCAACAAGGUGGAAUAUUAGCAAAAUCAAAAAAUUUUGAGUUUACCUAAUUUCACCAGAAAACAAUAUCUCUGAGAACUGGUGAACAACUUCACCAAAUCUAAAAAAAUGGCCAAGUGAUGUUAACAUAUCAUUUAGGCAUCAAAAAAUACAAGUCUGUAAUGUUUUUCACUUACCCAGUGUCCAGGUUGAUGUUAGCAUGUCAACCUAAGCGCUUGAGGUCAACCUGGGCGCUGGGUUGUCAAUUUGGGCGUUGGGUGUUGAUUAACCUUCAGUAAAAUGACAACUCACUCAAUAUUGAUUUGAUUGACGCAAUUCAAGUUGAGUUUCGAACCUAUUUCAAAGAUCUAUCAAGUCAUGUCUCACACCCAUAUCACAAUUUUAAAGAUUUCUAGUUCAAAAUUUGUCAUUAAGAAAGUUGCAAUUUUUUCCGCAUAUUAUCCAAAAACGAUCCAACGAACGAGAUUCAAACUCUAAAAAUUGACAAUUUUCAUCAAGAGUCAAUUUUAGCCAUUAAGAUCAUCAUCAAUGGUCAAGAUCAACUCAAAGUGAUUUUUUUUCUUCAUAUUUUUUGUAUAUUUUUAUUAAUAUUUUAAUGGGACCUCUUUUCCUAUAAAAAGAGAGUUUCUCUAGUUCAUGUUUAACCUUCUACUAAGUCCCCAUAAGGUUAUAGCAUCUCUCUCUCUCUCUCUCCACUUUCUCUCUCUAGAAAUUUGAGCUAUUUCCUUAGUCAAUUCUCUUGUAAUUAUCGUGAGAAAUAAAAACUCAAAGUAGAUGUAACUCCAUUACCAUUGCGACAUAGAGAGUGAACUACUAUAAAUUUUGUGUCUCUCUUUAAUAUUUACUUAACUCAUUAUUCAUCUUGCCAAUCUAGCGAGCUAGUGUUGGCCAUUCUCCAGCGUCAAUAAUCUCCACUAUUGGUUGAGUGUGUUACUCAAGGAAGAGUAGUUUCUCACGAGUUAAGAAACUAAUAUGUAGUUCACACUAUACUAAAGUGGCUCUGUUAAUAGACCUAGUGAAUGGCAAAAAGACCAAAAGGUAUGUCGGACGUUCUUACCACACAUUUCUAGAAAUAUAUCAUUAAGAGUGAUAUAGUGUACUGAAACCACUUAAGCUAGUGUCUAUAAAGUCAUAUAUAAUAGAAGGCCUGGAAAUAAAUCUAGGACCAACUAUGUGAGAUAAUUGAUUCAUGAUGGAAUCAUACAAACUUUUAUGUGAAAAGAUAAUAGAUCCAUUUAUAAACAUUUGAGAGAAAGUUGAGGCACUUCACAUAAGACAGACAUCUAGAGAGAUGAGACUAAAAUUCCUCGCAUAAUAGAUUCACCAAUGAUAGAAACCUGAUUUGUUACCCCACUGAGUAAGAAAUUCAAUGCGUAAGAACACGUCAUUGAUAAAUGGAUAGUUUCAAUUCUAACAAAAUAAUAGGUCCCAUCUAAGGAUGGUUAGUGUUGGUUGCUACGAAUUUAAGGUUUAACCGAAAGGUUUAAUGAAAUUCAGUUUUUGAGAAACAAGCAUCUCUAAAAGUUGCAAAUAUGUUAUAAGAAUUUUACCUAUAUGAACUUAGAGGUGAUGCCGCCUCUCAUGGGAGUAGAGUUUUCUCCUUGGAUAGUUCAUGAAUGGACUAGCACAAGGCCAUAAUAGUGCUAAGCAUGUAAAAGUUGGAGUAACACAAUGAAAGUGUGUGGAUGUUCACUUGAACGCAAUACCACUAAUCUUAUCAUUAAGGACUUGGAGGUUCAAUCCAUAUGAGUACUGAUUAGCACCGAUAAGGCUUUGUAGUGCUUCUACUAAAGUAAUAUUCAACUCGAAAGAGAUAUUGUUUUAUGCACCGAACAUUGUCUAUUUAGAGAUGGGAAAGGCAUAAGUAUUUAAUCAAGUGGGGAGAUUGUUGGAAUUGGUUAAAUACUUAAGGUUAAAAUAUGAAGAUUAGUAUAGACUAAUCAAUGAGAUAUGUUUAACCUAAUAAUGCAAGUUAAAAUACCAAAACACAUUAAGAGAAUGUGUACUUUAAACUUGUAUUUGUAAGACGUGUUAAAACUUAUUUUUGAUCCUAAAACUUAGUUUUGAGUAAGCUAAGUCACCUGAGAAGUUUUGGGUUGUUCGAAAGUGUCAAAUGCAUGUUUCAGAGAAAAAUGCACAAUAUUGGGUGACAUGUUGCCUGAAACAUUUCUAGAAUUACGGUAAAUAAUAACUAUCAAAGUCACAGGAGAUAUAUCGCCAAUUAUAGGCAAUAUAUUGCCUGAGGUGAAAUGUUGCCUAAUAAGAUAGGAUUUGAGUUUUUACAUUUUUUAUUUCCCGAUGCUGCGAUAUAUUACCCAGUGGUUGGUGAUAUAUUGCCUUGAGCUUUGCAUGAAAAAUUUCAAGGUUUCAUAAAAUACAAGAAAUGACCCAAAUGACCUCAUUAAGUGACCUAACCACAUGGGUUAAUACUAAUGAAGAUUCCUACACUAUAUAAGAGUGUUACGAGAGUAAAAUGAUAUGAUCACUCAAUUUUAUCUCUCCUUCUCUCUCUCUAACACCUCUCUCGAAAUUUUCUCUACUUCUCUCCAAGUUUUGUUCUUAGGGUUUUGCUAAUCCUAAAAAAAUCAAAAGCUUGGAGGCUGUUUGGCUGUAUUUUUCAGUUUUUAAUUUUUAGAAUUGUGUUUUCUAAAUUGACAAUAUAAAAUAGUUUCUUUUAUCUUUUUAAAAAUUUAAUAGUGUUUGUCUCAGGUUUUUUAAAACUAUUUAUAUAUUUUUUUUACAAAAAAAAAAUCAAUAUUCUACACCAUACCAUGACAUGAACCCAUCCAAUUCGGACCGAAGCUCGGACCCAGACCUGAACCUAGACCCCGACCCUCAAACCCAAACCCGGUCCCAAACCCCAAACCCAGACCUAGACUAGGACCCAAAUCUUGGUCAGGGUCUGGGUCGGGAUUCAAGGUACGAGUCCUAUUCCGGGUUAGGCUACGGUACGGGAUCAGGGUCCAAUUUUAGGGUCUGGGUUAGGGUCCGAUUUUAGGGUCUGGGUUGGGGUUGGGGGUAUGGGUCCUGGUCCAAGUUAGGCCGGGGUCCGAUGUCUAGGGUGUGAGUCCAGUUCUGGGUUUGAGUCUGAGUCUGGGGUCCAAGUCUGGGUCCGUGUCUGGGUCCAAGGUUCGGGUCGGGGUCAGGGUCAGGGUCUGGGUUUGGGUUCGAAUUCAGGGUUCAGGGUCGGGUCGAGGUUUGGGUUUGGGUUCAGAUCGGGGUAGGGGUUCGGGUCAGGUCGGGGUCGGGGUCCAGGUCCGUGUUGGUGUCUGGGUCUGAGUCUGAGGUCAGGGUUUGGGUUCGGGUCGAGGUUGGAGUCAUGGUUCGGGUCCAGGUCUGGGUCCCAAUUUGGGGUCGGGCGUCGAGGUCUAGGGUUCGGGUCUGGUCUGGGUCCCGAUUCCAUGGUCUGGGUCCAAGGUCCGUGUAUGUGAGCAAAAAUGUAAAAUAUAAUAUGUUAGACAAAAAAAAUUGUUUUUGAAUAUUGAAAACUACAUUUAGAUGCUUUUUGUUUUUCAGUUUAUUAAAACUCUAUUUUUAAAAAACUGUUUUAAGAAAAUUUGGCCAAAUAACUCCUAUUAGUUCUUAAAAAUUAUUGAAAAUAUUUUUUAAGUUAUGAAGCCAAAUAGAUCUUUGAAGUCCCAGAUCUUAUUCCAUUAGAGAAGCCAUUAACAAUUAUUGGAGGGUUGGAGUAAAGAUUUUUUGGAUAGGCGUUAAUCUAACCCGACAAGCCUUCUUUGAUCAAAGAUUGAUUCUAAAAAUCAAUGGUGAUGUUUUCUAACUAUUCUUUAUGCUACUUGUGUUAGUUUUUUAUUCUUAGUUAUUUUUUUUUUGAAUUAGUCUUGUUGUUCAUAAUAAGAGCAUUGUUAAUGUUCUUAUGAUAUUAUUGUUGAUUUAAUCCUUUUGUUGUUAUUCUCAUUGUUGUUGAUCUUUAUAUGUGUUCAUACUGCAUUAAUGUAAUGUUAGAAUCAUAAGAAUCCUUGUAAAUUCACAACAAUUCAAACUCUAUUUCGGUGUAAGCUUUUGCUGCUGCGAAGAAUGGUAAGCUGUAAUGCUUUGUAUUUUUUUUUAUUGACUUUGGUUUUGAGGUUGGAUAAGAGGUGGAAGAUGAAAUACCCAUGUGUUUUAUCUAUGGGAACACCUUUCUGGUUGCUUUGAGGAUGGUUUCAUGUCAGUUUAAAAUUAAACAUUGAUCUUCUCAAACUCUGAAUGUUUCUCUAAAUUAGAUGUGCCGUCGACAACCAUUAUGGGUGCAAUUCGGCCAACCCUCAGAGCUGCAUUCAUUGCAGCAAAAACAUAUUGGAAACUAUCAUUUUCCUUCUUUUAAAUGUCAAUUAUUGUUUUAGGGUUUUUUUUAGCAUGUACAAGUAUUUUGGCAAGAGGCAGAUUCUUUUGCGUUUCCACAUAGCUGAUUUAGUGCGUGUUCCCUACUAUCUCAAGCCUUCAUGUAGUUCAUCUUUACUCUAUAUCUAUCUUUCAGUUCACCUUUUAUAUUAGUUGGAUUGCACUUUGUUUUCAGGCUGAGGAACUUUGCUUGUACGCAAUCUGCUAUAAAUUUUGUGGUUGCUUGUCGUUGAUCCCUGAAUUUGAUAGGUUGCUGUACAAUUGAGUAUCUUGAGUGAUGGUCACUUCUAAUUAUUAUCACAUUGUUGCACACUAUUACUUGGGUAGCUGCAAAAAAGAUUGUAUUUCUGUUGUUUUUGUAUUGUUGAAGGUGUUCACAUACAAUGGAUUUCAAGUGAAUCAAUUUCCUUGGUUAAUAAUAGAUUUAUGUAAAACAACAUACUUUUGUAAUCUUUGAUUUAGAGUGGUUGACAACCUUCCGUUAGUUAGUAUUUCAGUUGUAUUUAAGUUGUUUCAGGAUUG